UUCUUAUUUGAAAGAGGGAGAGAGAGAGAUAAAUGAGGGACACACAAAUGCAUUCAGCGAUUUAAUUAGCAGUAGUAACGGUAAGAAUCAAUGGGCACUAAAUAUCCAUCCACCAAAGAACCAUAUAUAUAUACAUCGAAUUCACGCACCAUGUGCAUAUACCAAAAACAAAAAGAAAGAAGAGUCCAAGCACAAGCACUACUACUAUCAUCAUCAUCUAUGGCUUCAUCAUCCUGCUCCCCCGUCUUCAAGAUCCUUAUCGUCGUCGCUCUCGUCGCUGCUGCCCUUUCGUCCUACGGAGCGGCGGAGUACAUCUGCAUCCAGCCGUGCUGGGAGCUGCCGCACUGCGACGCCUGGUGCAGGGACGCCAAGUUCGCCAAGGGCGGCGACUGCGUCGACUUCGGCAGCGGCCUCACCUGCUGCUGCCGUCGGUAGCUAGGGUAGCUGCGCGCAUGCACAGAUGCAGGUGCCAGAGUGCCAGUGGAGAAUGGAGCGUCGGUCUCUCUCUCGUCUCGAUCGUGUAAGAUAAAUAUAUGGCAGAUGAUAAUGCACAAUACAAAUAAACGGGAGAAGAAAAAAAAUCCAAGGAUCUCGCAUGCGUUGUUUCCAUACACGGCAUGCCUGCCGAACGAUUAUGUUAUUAUAGUACUAGGUAUGUGCCCGUGGGUUGCCACGUACGCACAAUUACAUAAAAACAAACAUAUAUAUCCUUGGCAUCAAUAUACCACAAAUCAUUUGCACAACUGAA